UUCUCUCUCAGCAUCAAGUAGAGCUGAAGGGGAGGAGCAGGAGUAGGAAGAAAAGUGGAUCUUUGAAAGCUUGCAGAGAUUGCCUGGAAGAACUGGAGGGGACUCACAACCUGGUUUCACUUCUGCAAAGCUGCCUGGGGAGGCUUCCUGGCAAGGGCAACUUUCAUCAGCUCUCAUGUCAAGAC